ACAGCAUCAGCCAGAUGGAAGAGAUACAUAUGGCAAGAUGUGUGGGAAGGAGAGCAAAGCUUUCAUGCUCUCUGAGGAUACAACUCUCCCCAAAUCUCCAUGUAUUCACCAACCUCGAAGCUCUCUGAAUCCUGUCCUUUGACAUUUGGAGAAGGCUCCAUUACAUAGAUGGCCAACAGACACAUGUGAAGAUGCUCAACAUCACUCAUCAUCAGGGAAAUGCAAAUCGACACCACAAUGAAAUAUCAGCUAAAACCUGUCAGAAUGGCUAGAAUCAAAAAGGCAAGAAAUAAUAAGUGUUGGCAAGGAUGUGGAGGAAAAGGAAUUCUUGGGCACUGUUGGUGAGAAGGUAAAUUGAUACAGCCAAUGUAAAAAUGGUAAGGAGGUUUCUCAAAAAAUUAAAAAUAUAAAUACCUUA